rnacentral:lncRNA from 1 species
CGAUGCUCUGCUUGAACAGCCUCAUUGGAAUCUGGCUACUUCAAACUUCUUGUUGCUGGAAAGGCCCAGGGAGCUUCUGUGCAGUUGUUUUGUGUUUCUUGACUUAAGUUUAAACACAAAGAAGUCUCAGAUAUGCACCCUGUGGCCUGACCUGGAGGUUUCUGUUUACAAACACUUUGAUCACAUUAUGAGUGAGUGAAGCUGGUUAAGAGGAAGGCAGAUCAGGUUUAUGUUCUGCAAUGAGCAGAUCUGGCGAGCCUGCAAAAUUUUGUAAUGAAUGUUUCUUUAAACCACUUUAUGGUCUCUAAAUGAUGAUAAUGAUGAUGAUAAUGAUUAUAACGUCAAUUUAUUCCAUGCUUACUCCUACCAAUAGCUAACAUUUACUGCUAUUACUAAAAAUAGCUGACAGCAAGUACCAGAAACAACUCUAAGUACUUUACAUGUAUUAUCUCAUUUAAUACUCACAAGAUCCCGAUGAGGCAGGUACUGCAAUUAUUGUCAUCUCAUCCAUAUUAGAGAUAAGCACAUGAAGGCACAGAGUUGAAUAACUUGCCCAGGGUCAUAGAGUUGUAAGUAGCAAUACUGGGAUGUGCCACAAAUGUUUUCAUAAGUGUUAUCUUCUUUAGAUUAUACAACAACCCUACGAAGAAGAUAUAAAUAGUUCCAUUUUGUAAAUGAUGAAAAUGGAUACCAAUAAAUUUCUUGCUCAAGGUCCAGUCACUCAGCUGGCAAGUAGUGAAUCAGAAUUCAAGUCAAUCUGCCUCUAAAACUUGUGUUUUACUGUCUUCUGUAUCCCCAAAUUCAGAACAUUAAAUGCACCUUCUAAAGUGGUCCUGGCCUCUGGUGUGAACUCUUUCUUCUUUGGGGAAGAUUCUGCCACAGUGUCCUCUCUGGAGCAUAGCUGGUGGCAUCAAGUACUCACGGAGCUCUUCCUGGGUUCCAGAAAAUGGCAAGGAAAUCCUCAGACAAGGAAAUCUCUCCUGCUCUGUCUCAAGAUUGAACUUCCUUGGGGGAUACCACAGUUCUGUGACUCCUGGUCUCUGGGUUUUCAGCAAAAUGACAACAAAAAUCUUACUGACAGCCUGGGCAACAGCCAGACACCUCAUCUCUUAAAAAAACAACAACAACAAAAACAACAACGACAAAAAAAACAAAACAAAAUUGGCAAGAUGUGGUGGCACAUGCCUGUGGAGGCUGAGGUGGGAGGAUGGCUUGAGCCCAGGAGGUCGAGGCUGCAGUGAGCCAAGAUUGCACCACUGCACUCAACCUGGAAGACAGAAUGAGACUCUGCCUCAAAAACACAAAAUAAAAACAAACAAAAAAAACCAACCUUAUGGAAACUUUCUCAGUGUUUUUUACUUUUUUCUGCCAAUCACUGGUAGUUGAAAACAAUGUAGUGUUGUGUCAAGGGCCCACGAUUUCUG